rnacentral:rRNA from 1 species
AGCGCAGGCGGGAAGACAAGUUGGAAGUGAAAUCUAUGGGCUCAACCCAUAAACUGCUUUCAAAACUGUUUUUCUUGAGUAGUGCAGAGGUAGGCGGAAUUCCCGGUGUAGCGGCGGAAUGCGUAGAUAUCGGGAGGAACACCAGUGGCGAAGGCGGCCUACUGGGCACCAACUGACGCUGAGGCUCGAAAGUGUGGGUAGCAAACA